GGUUUCUUCAUCUGCCUUCCUCUCCGGCGAGUCCUCCGUCUCCGGCGUACUCUUUGCAGCGGCAAGCAACAAUGGUGUCUCUCUCGUUCGACUCUUCUCCGACGGUGCAG